UACGUAGGGUGCGAGCGUUAAUCGGAAUUACUGGGCGUAAAGCGUGCGCAGGCGGUUCGCCGUGUCCGAUGUGAAAGCCCCGGGCUUAACCUGGGAAUGGCAUUGGAAACUGGCGGGCUUGAGUGCGGCAGAGGGGGGUGGAAUUCCGCGUGUAGCAGUGAAAUGCGUAGAGAUGCGGAGGAACACCGAUGGCGAAGGCAGCCCCCUGGGUCGACACUGACGCUCAGGCACGAAAGCGUGGGGAGCAAACAGG
rnacentral:rRNA from 1 species